GCGUCAGCACCCUGGACAUCCUGGUGGCGAGGGGGCUGGGGGUGAUGGCAGGACAACUGAGAGAACUGGCUAUUUCAGCCGCUAGUUCUGAUUUUUUUUUUCCCUUGCAGGACUGGAGUCCUGACAGUUCCCAGACUCUGCAUUAUCACCCAAGGAAUCUAGCUUCUAGGAUCAGCCCAGUGUAGAAGAAGAAACAGAAAUGGAGACAGAGCCCUGCUCCCACCAGUCCUUCCACACAGCAAGCCGGGAGGUCAGAGAUCCCCGCUCAGCUGGUGCUGUUGGCUCGGCCAGCCCAGGAGUCCCUGGAGCGAAGAUCUGGAAUCUGUGGGACUGAGGGAACCUCAGUGUGGGGACUCGCAGACAUUGGGUCCACACUUGGCCAGGGGUUCUGUCCACAGUAAAGCUUGGACCUCAGAGCCUUUCCUGCCUUUCGGGUAGCACAGGACAGGAUGAACUGUUCUGGGCCAGAGUGUCUGGCAUCGCCCAGGGAAGGGUUCAGGGGUCAGGUCUUGGGAAGAGUCCACUGGAACGCCGAGCCGCACUGAGUCCUGGGGUCUCGGAGAAUGUCUCAGGGACAGGGGGAUGGAGGCAGUGACGUCUCCAGGAUUGUUCCUGUCCUCUCCAAAAAUGGCCCCUGCUUUACUUCUGGAAGGGGAUUUCUCUGUGGAUCCAGGCAAGUGACUCUCCAAGCCCUGACUUACGGUGCUCCCAUCACCACUCCCUGCCCCCAUCCUCUGCCCACCUACAUUCCACUCAUCCUUAGCUAUCAGCAAGAUGCCCACCACCUCCAGGAAGCCCCCCACCCCUUCCCCUGCAUGCCCUCCUUCUCUGUAUUUCUUGGUGCAGCUCUCCUUUCUGGUGACAAAACAGGGCAGACUCUGCUGGACCUUGGUCCCCUGUGGCUUCCUGUGGAUGGGUUAGUCCGGUUUGCCUGGCCACACUUUACACUCCUCAAGGGCAGCAGCUGCAUC